rnacentral:rRNA from 1 species
AACGAACGCUGGCGGGCGUCUUAAGCAUGCAAGUCGAACGGCAAGAGAGGAGCUGCUUCUCUCCAGAGUGGCGGACUGGUGAGGAACACGUGGGUAAUCUACCCUUAAGAUGGGGAUAGCUGCUAGAAAUAGCAGAUAAUACCGAAUACACUCAAUAUUUCAUAAGAAGUAUUGAGGAAAGGAAGCUACGGCUUCGCUUGAGGAUGAGCUUGCGUCCCAUUAGCUAGUUGGUGAGGUAAAGGCCCACCAAGGCGACGAUGGGUAUCCGGCCUGAGAGGGUGAACGGACACAUUGGGACUGAGAUACGGCCCAAACUCCUACGGGAGGCAGCAGCUAAGAAUAUUCCGCAAUGGACGAAAGUCUGACGGAGCGACGCCGCGUGGAUGAAGAAGGCUGAAAAGUUGUAAAAUCCUUUUGUUGAUGAAGAAUAAGGGGGAGAGGGAAUGCUUUCUCUGAUGACGGUAAUCGGCGAAUAAGCCCCGGCUAA